rnacentral:rRNA from 1 species
CCUACGGGUGGCAGCAGUCGAGAAUCAUUCACAAUGGGGGAAACCCUGAUGGUGCGACGCCGCGUGGGGGAAUGAAGGUCUUCGGAUUGUAAACCCCUGUCAUGUGGGAGCAAAUUAAAAAGAUAGUACCACAAGAGGAAGAGACGGCUAACUCUGUGCCAGCAGCCGCGGUAAUACAGAGGUCUUAAGCGUUGUUCGGAAUCACUGGGCGUAAAGCGUGCGUAGGCUGUUUCGUAAGUCGUGUGUGAAAGGCGCGGGCUCAACCCGCGGACGGCACAUGAUACUGCGAGACUGGAGUGAUGGAGGGGGAACCGGAAUGCUCGGUGUAGCAGUGAAAUGCGUAGAUAUCGAGAGGAACACUCGUGGCGAAGGCAGGUUCCUGGACAUUAACUGACGCUGAGGCACGAAGGCCAGGGGAGCGAAAGGGAUUAGAUACCCUGGUAGUC